UACGGAGGGUGCGAGCGUUGUCCGGAAUCACUGGGCGUAAAGGGCGCGUAGGCGGCGCGGAUAGUCGGCGGUGAAAGCCCGGAGCUCAACUCCGGGUCGGCCGUCGAUACUUCCGGGCUUGAGCACUGUAGAGGCAGAUGGAAUUCCGGGUGUAGCGGCUGGAAUGGACGUAGAGAUCCGGAAGAACACCGGUGGCGAAGGCGGUCUGCUGGGCAGUUGCUGACGCUGAUGCGCGACAGCGUGGGGAGCAAACAGG
rnacentral:rRNA from 1 species